rnacentral:piRNA from 1 species
UCUGUGAAAUGGGGCAGUUCUUAAUGUA